GACACUUUAUCUCCAUAUUCGUUCCUAAAGAUUUUUGGGAGACAACCCUUCCCCAGUAAGAUGUGAUCGACAUUGCCCACAGUGGUAACAUCUCAUUAACACAGGCUGUGCUAACUUUGUGACUUACUUUGGGUGAAGAAGGGCAAGAGACAUAUGAGAUACCACUUUCUGUCUGCUACCUCCAGAGGUUCAGUGCUUGAACAUGCUUCUAACCCAGAUAUUGUGAUGAUCCAAGGCAAGGCAAGACUAC